rnacentral:lncRNA from 1 species
GGGACUAAUUGAGAAUCACUACGAAUUUUUAGUAAAUUUCAAAAUUCAUACUACAUACCGUUGCCAACCAUAAUUUACUCAUUUCAUCAAUACUUCUACAACCUAAAUGACUCUCAUUAAACAUCUUGGGUACAUGCCACUAUCAAUACUCAACAUACUUUACCGUAAUGAAUUCGGGAUCAUCCUGGGAUGCUGAUUCAACG